GAUGAACGCUGGCGGCGUGCCUAAUACAUGCAAGUCGAGCGAACGGACGAGAAUCUUGCUUCUCUCAUGUUAGCGGCGGACGGGUGAGUAACACGUGGAUAACCUACCUAUAAAACUGGGAUCACUUGGGGAAACCGGAGCUCAUACCGGAUGAUAUUUUGAACCGCAUGGUUCAAAAGUGAAAGACGGUCUUGCUGUCACUAAUAGAUGGAUCCGCGCUGCAUUAGCUAGUUGGUAAGGUAACGGCUUACCAAGGUAACGAUGCAUAGCCGGCCUGAGAGGGUGAUCGUCCACACUGGAACUGAGACACGGUCCAGACUCCUACGGGAGGCAGCAGUAGCGAAGCUUGAGCAAUGGGCGAAAGCCUGACCGAGUAACGCAGCGUGAGUGAUGAAGAUCUUCGGUGCGUAAAACUCGGCUAUUUGGGAAGAAAAUAUGUAUAUGUAACUGUGAACAUGUUGACGGUACUUAGUCAGAAAGCCACGGCUAACUACGUG
rnacentral:rRNA from 1 species